rnacentral:rRNA from 1 species
UACAGAGGGUGCAAGCGUUAAUCGGAAUUACUGGGCGUAAAGCGCGCGUAGGUGGUUUGUUAAGUUGGAUGUGAAAUCCCCGGGCUCAACCUGGGAACUGCAUUCAAAACUGACUGACUAGAGUAUGGUAGAGGGUGGUGGAAUUUCCUGUGUAGCGGUGAAAUGCGUAGAUAUAGGAAGGAACACCAGUGGCGAAGGCGACCACCUGGACUAAUACUGACGCUGAGGCACGAAAGCUAGGGGAGCAAACAGG